AGGGGAAUAGUUCAAUUGGUAGAGCAACGGUCUCCAAAACCGUGUGUUGGGGGUUCGAGUCCCUCUUCCCCUG
rnacentral:tRNA from 2 species